AAAUAUUUUUUGUUAAUAUUAUAAAUGAUUUUCUUAAAAAGAAAGGAAUAAUAUUUAAUAUUUUAUUCCAGUUUAAUGAAUUUUCAAAGGUUUAUAUUUAAACCCCGGGUUAUUGUGUUAUUGAUAGAUAACUGUAUUUUCAAAACGGAUUUUCAAAUAUUGUUUUGAAAAUUCUGUAUUAAUAUUAUGUGAAUAUAUGUGUUAUGUGAUUAAGUGGUAUUGGUGAAUUUGUUGUUAAUUAGUUAUGAUGAAUUAUUAAUAUUAUAUGAUUAAUAUAUGAAUUUUUGUGAAUUUUAUAUUAUCUGGUUUAUUGCGUUAACUGCUCAUAUGUGUUCGUAUUUGAGAGAUUUCAAUUUCUACAUGCUCAGGAGAAAAUAUAGUUUAUUUGGAUAUUUUCAUAUCGAUUUAUGGAAUAUUAGAUGAUUUUAUAAUCGAUUUACGGAUUUAAUUGCGUAUAUUUAUAUUUAUUUAUUAAUUAUUGGACUUCUGUAAAACCGUCCACUCGUAACGAGGUAGCAAAUUUUCUUCCCGGAAGUUUCAACAAAACUCACCUUUAGCCUAAUUUAGAUAUUCCGGACACUUUUCGUGUUUUGACUUUUUCGAUCCGGAGUACGGUUUUUCCCGGAGUCGGUCCGGCGGAGUUUUUCGGGUAGUUGAAUUGUUGAUAAUUAUCCAGUUUGUCUCGAUAAACGUGAAACGGGAUAUUUUUUUUCAUCCUUAUCAUGUAAUAAUUGCAGUGGGACCCGCAGACCAAUAAUUGAGUUAAAAAGCCCCGUUUUGAUGAUUAUCUCGAAAACAAGUACCGAUUGGACCCCACUUUCUUAAUAUAAAGCUAUUAAAUAUGUAUUUUCAUGCCAUAAACGAUCCAAAGGGGUACCAAUUAUUUGUAAAUAUAAAUAUACCUUUCUAGAGCUUAUUUUCACCCGUAAAAUCAUUUCACCGGUUUCUCUGCACGAAUACCGAGAGAAACCGAGCGGUGUUCUUCGUGUUCUUCAUAAUUAAACAAAGAUUUGAAGGUGUUAUUGGAGUCAGAAUCGAGCGUGCGAAUAGUCAAAUCGAAGAUAUCGAAGAGAAGAACUCAAAUCAAUCAUCAAAAACAACCUGAGAUUCACAGAAAGGCUUAAAGGUGAGAUGAUUGAUUGAGAUUGUGGAUACGGCUAAUGCUAGGCGAGGAGACAGAGUUGAGGAUCCAGUGGUCAGGGAGUGGUGAGGAAAGUUGAUGAGGUUGGUGCAAGCUGGAAUAGUUGACAGUGAUUCUUCUUAUCGAAGAUGAUCUGACUUGGUAAGAAAUAUUGUAUAGUAUUAGUGGUGGAUUCUAAUUUCAAUACUGUAACCUGGAAGCGAUCCUGUUGUUUUUGGGGGUUAAAAUGUUCUCUUUCGAGUCACUUAUUGAAGUUUAAAUGUUCUCUGGAAAUUCUUUUAUGAUGAUUUUCAAAUUUAAAAGUCAGGUUUUGAAAUCAUUUGAUUUAUGUUCUCAUUCAAAUCCUUUAUUUAAUGUUUUCAAGUUUUAAAUUCUAUUGGAUCUUCAUUAAUAAAAAUAUUACAGGUUUUUAAAGUGUUUUAAAAAUGGGUUUUAUGUGGUGACGUCAGAAUCCAGACCCCCGGAUUCCUGGACUGUCACAGUUGGUAUCAGAGCGACAGGUUAUAAGUAUUUGAAAUUAGAAUAUAGAUUAUAGUUUUAAGUUCUAUUGAUGAGGAAUGUGGUGUAACCUCACAUAGAGGUAUGGUCGGACUAUUUAGGAAUAGUCUAGAGAUGUGAGUGAAGCAUAGAGUUUAGUUAGAUGAUCAAGUUAAGUGUGGAUAUCUAAAAGAGAUUAGGAUUCUUAAGUUUAGACAUAUGAUUUCUAGUAUAUUGAGUAUUUGAGAUGGUGAAUUGUGGGAAAGGUCAGUAUUAGACCUAUAUAGAAGAGUUUGAUAAUGAAUGAUUGAGUUGAGAAUGGUGAAAAUGCAGAGUUCAGAGUAUUCUGACUAUACUGCAUAUUUAAAUUUGGAUUAUUGUAUUGAUUUGAGGAUAAUAUAAAUGCAUGGUUCAUAGUAUGUUGACCAUGUCAGAUAUUUGGAAGAUGUAUAUUGUUUUGAGUGAAGAUAUGAAGAGUGAGUGUAGAGUAUGAGUUGUAUUGGAUUAGAAGGAGAGAUUGGUUGAUAGAUGAGAAGUGCAUGAUAGAGAGUAAGUAAAGUUGAUUCAGGUUAUUAGAAGCGAUAUUUGCGAGUAAGUUAGAAUGUUAAUUCUCGACGAUGACGCUUUAAGUUAAGCGGGACAAGGUGGGCCCAUAACCCACAGGGCGACGAUUCAGAAAAUCGAAGAUAUGCUACGUGUUGUGUUAUAGACUUCAAAGGCAAUUGGAUGAAGCAUAAGAACGUGAACUACUUGGGCCAGACUUAUUACGAACGAUAACGUCUACGAUGACAUCUUACGAGGCUAUUACGGGUCAAAUUGAUUGAUCAUCAAGAACGUUGAAAAGAAGACAUAUAUCGUACAAUGAUUUAUUGAAGUAGAGUCGGAAUCUGAGAAGACCUUGGCAAUACCUCUAUUCAACUAAAGAUUCUUUUGAUGGUUUUUUUCAUCAGUAAGAUAUUAUCAUGAUAUCUUUUCUACAAAAGUUUUGAUAAAUGAGAUCUUCAAUUUCUCAAAUUCUACGAUGACAUUGAUAUUGAUUAUUGGUAUGAGUUGGAAAGCAAAGAUGUGUGAUAAAGGUUUGUUGUGAAGAGAUAGUGAUGUUCCUUGAUAUUGUUUGACAUUUCUUGAUAUUCCUUGAUAUUCUUUCAUCAUCCUUGAUAUCCCUUGAUAUUCUCGAGAUUCUUUGAUAUUCCUUGAUAUUCUCUGAGAUUCCUUAACAUUUCUUCAAUUUGACUGGGAUGAACAACCCUAUUUAUAGGGGACACAAGGUAUACCUGUCUGUGUGAUAGGAGUUGGAUGGGACGCCAUCACUUGUGUGUGUUGUGAUUACAAGAAGGUUAACAACCUUUAGUAGUGUCUAAUGUGGACACGCAACACCAAGUUCAUUGAUCAUAUAGAUCUCUCAGUCACUCCUUUAUUCAAAUAUGAUCUACCUUGAAAACAUCUUGUUCUGUUCAAAAUUUCCAAAGAUUGAUUCUUGGGAAAUGAAUUCUGCAAUUGUGAAAGUUGAUUCUCAAAUUUCUUUAAAGUCAAAGGUAUGCCAAGGCCGAUCAAAGGUGAAUGAUGAUACGUUAUUACGAAGCGUAUAGUGGAAUCUUAUAAGUGAUACGUUUGAGUUCUCUUUGCGGAUUCCGAGGGCGGAAUCCUUAUAAGGGGAGUAGAAUGUAAUAUCCCAUAUUAUUAAAUUUAGAUUUGAUUAUUAUAAAUCUAUUUGUCUAAAUAUAAUUGUUGGCUUUAAUGGAAUAGUGAUAUGAUUUGUGAAUAGUUGUAUGUGAUGAUACUUGUUCUAUGGAUUAAUAUGGAUUUUACAAAUUAUGCGUCCUCCUUCUUUCUCGGAUUCCGAGGACGGAAUCCCUAUAAGGAGGGUAGAUUGUAAUAACCCGGAUUUUUAAAAAUAUUUUUUGUUAAUAUUAUAAAUGAUUUUCUUAAAAAGAAAGGAAUAAUAUUUAAUAUUUUAUUCCAGUUUAAUGAAUUUUCAAAGGUUUAUAUUUAAACCCCGGGUUAUUGUGUUAUUGAUAGAUAACUGUAUUUUCAAAACGGAUUUUCAAAUAUUGUUUUGAAAAUUCUGUAUUAAUAUUAUGUGAAUAUAUGUGUUAUGUGAUUAAGUGGUAUUGGUGAAUUUGUUGUUAAUUAGUUAUGAUGAAUUAUUAAUAUUAUAUGAUUAAUAUAUGAAUUUUUGUGAAUUUUAUAUUAUCUGGUUUAUUGCGUUAACUGCUCAUAUGUGUUCGUAUUUGAGAGAUUUCAAUUUCUACAUGCUCAGGAGAAAAUAUAGUUUAUUUGGAUAUUUUCAUAUCGAUUUAUGGAAUAUUAGAUGAUUUUAUAAUCGAUUUACGGAUUUAAUUGCGUAUAUUUAUAUUUAUUUAUUAAUUAUUGGACUUCUGUAAAACCGUCCACUCGUAACGAGGUAGCAAAUUUUCUUCCCGGAAGUUUCAACAAAACUCACCUUUAGCCUAAUUUAGAUAUUCCGGACACUUUUCGUGUUUUGACUUUUUCGAUCCGGAGUACGGUUUUUCCCGGAGUCGGUCCGGCGGAGUUUUUCGGGUAGUUGAAUUGUUGAUAAUUAUCCAGUUUGUCUCGAUAAACGUGAAACGGGAUAUUUUUUUUCAUCCUUAUCAUGUAAUAAUUGCAGUGGGACCCGCAGACCAAUAAUUGAGUUAAAAAGCCCCGUUUUGAUGAUUAUCUCGAAAACAAGUACCGAUUGGACCCCACUUUCUUAAUAUAAAGCUAUUAAAUAUGUAUUUUCAUGCCAUAAACGAUCCAAAGGGGUACCAAUUAUUUGUAAAUAUAAAUAUACCUUUCUAGAGCUUAUUUUCACCCGUAAAAUCAUUUCACCGGUUUCUCUGCACGAAUACCGAGAGAAACCGAGCGGUGUUCUUCGUGUUCUUCAUAAUUAAACAAAGAUUUGAAGGUGUUAUUGGAGUCAGAAUCGAGCGUGCGAAUAGUCAAAUCGAAGAUAUCGAAGAGAAGAACUCAAAUCAAUCAUCAAAAACAACCUGAGAUUCACAGGAUUUGGACGAGACGUGUACGCUCGAAGACGUCAGAAAGUCGGAAUGGUAUUGCAAAGCGAAUAAGGGAUGAAUCGAGUAAGCGAAGCAAUGUGGCGAAUAGAGUAUAGCUAGAGAUGGUCUAGAGAUUAUGAGAUGCAUAGAUUGUGAAAGUGGAAAGAUGAGAAUGAGCUGUGAGACGGGAGUCAGAUUUAAGGCAAGUAUCCUGCACCCUGCUUUUGGAUAUAUUGCAAAUAUUCUGAUUCAUUCUUUUGAUGUGUUGCAAGUAUCCUAAACCCUUCUUUUGGAUAUAUUGCAUGUUCUGAUCCAUUCCUUUGGUAUAUGUUUCAAGUAUUCAUACCUUUCUUUUCAAUGUUCGAAAAUGCGAGUAUUCUGACCCAUUCUUUCUAAUCUUCAAGUUUCUAAAGAAUUUCCGUUUUACAAAUUAAUUCGAAGUUCAGAUUGUCAUUGAAGCAUGUGUUGCUCAGUGAUAGUUAGAGCUUUGAAUGAAUUGGGAUCUUCUUGAUUAUUCAACCCGCCAUUGUCAUGCUGGUUUAGCAGGCUAAAUUCAGUUGCUUAGCCGAUAAUGGAGGAUACUGAAUAGUUGAGGAUUUCCUGAACUGUGAUUUAUGAAAUGAUGGAUCAUGAUUUAUGAAUAAAUUAUUAUUAAAGUUUGAAUUGGAAUUAUUCUGUUGUUGAAGAUAUUUAUGAUAAUGUUCUGUUGAUUUACAUUGGCUUCUUGAAUUGAAUUAGAGAAUUGGAUUAUUGUUUUUAUAUAAACCUGUGGACCAGAUUCGUGGUCAUGUUAGGCCAAUGAGUGCCUUGGAUCCAGUGAUAGAGCAUGGCGGGGCCUGCUCGGGGUUAGUGCGGAACUGAUCAGCUGCCUAACCUUGGUUUUAAUUAAAAUGUGAUAGUCCAAUUCAAUAAUUCUUUUGGAAAAAUUGAAUUCCUCAUUAUUCAAUUGCUGCAAGGUAUUGUGAACUUCUUAUACGAUACCAUGAACUCAUGAACUCAGGUUGAAUUCUCUUAUAUCUUGAACUCGUGAACUUCUAUUAUAUAAUUUCAGAACUAUCAUUGUUUAUUAUUACUUGCUGAGCAUUGUUGCUCACCCUUGCUAUUCCUUUCUAAA